GGACCCGCACAAGCGGUGGAGCAUGUUGCUUAAUUCGACGCAACGCGAAGAACCUUACCGGGGCUUGAAGUGCACAUGAAGGGCGCAGAGACGCGUUCCGCUCUUCGGAGCGUGUGCAUUAGGUGCUGCACGGCUGUCGUCAGCUCGUGUCGUGAGAUGUUGGGUUAAGUCCUGUAACGAGCGCAACCCCUAUCCCUAGUUGCCAUCAGGUAAAGCUGGGAACUCUACGGAGACUGCCGGUGAUAAACCGGAGGAAGGUGGGGAUGACGUCAAGUCAUCGUGGCCCUUACGUCCCGGGCUGCAAACGUGCUACAAUGGUCGGUACAAAGGGAGGCAAGACCGCGAGGUGGAGCAAAUCCCAAAAAACCGGUCUCAGUUCGGAUUGUAGUCUGCAACUCGACUGCAUGAAGUUGGAAUCGCUAGUAAUCGCGGAUCAGCAUGCCGCGGUGAAUACGUUCCCGGGUCUU
rnacentral:rRNA from 1 species